UGUGGCAACGCCAGAAAGCAAAAAUCGAUUGUUCAGUGUUAUCGGUAUUAUUCUGCAUUUCUUUCUAUUCUGCGUUUUUUCGUCGGUGUAAAGUGCAUAAAAUUGUUACAUUUGCCCUGUAAUAAUAUAGUUUAAGUUCAAAUAGUUGCCUAACAAAAUGUCGUUUGCGGAAAAGUUAACGGGACUGAUGGCGCGGCCAAAUCAACAAGAUCCAGCUGGCGGUCCAGAGCAGCCUUGGUAUCUCAAAUAUGGCAGUCGUGUGCUGGGUAUCGUUGCCGCAUUCUUUGCCAUACUCUUCGGCCUGUGGAAUGUGCUCUCAAUAAUUGGAUUGAGCGUCUCAUGCCUUGUCGCGGGCAUCAUACAAAUGCUAGCAGGAUUUGUGGUGAUGGCGCUGGAAGCGCCUUGUUGCUUUAUUUGUAUCGAGAAGGUCGGCUCGGUGGCGGAUAUGAUGGACACCAAGCCCUUGUACUUCCGAGCGGGCCUGUACUGCGCCAUGGCGGUGCCGCCAAUAUUUAUGUGCUUCGGCCUGGCGAGUCUCUUUGGCAGCGGCCUGAUCUUUGCCACCGGCGCUGUCUACGGCAUGAUGGCGUUAGGCAAAAAAGCUUCGCGCGAGGACAUGGCCGCUGCGGCCACAUCGCCCACACAAAUGGCCGGCGGCCAGGCAGGCGGCCAAAUGCAAAUGGGCGGCGAUCAACAUAUCACACUCAUGGAAGAUCCCGAUGUUUGGCGUCCAACAUAAAUGCGCUAACCAAAUGCAUAAACUGCCAAAAACAAAGCAUAUGAUAAACAAUUAAACACAAACAAACACACCUAAACACCCAACACACACAUCACACAAUUAGACAAGGAAAGAAAUAUCAUAAUGAAAUAUUGAGUAACAAAUAUUUUACGAUGCAUAGUUUUUAGUGUUCGUUCCAAUUAAAGUUAAUAUAUAUAAUGAUUAAAACGUUGUAGGGCCGCGCAGAGAUCAUAAUACACAACAUUGAAUACAGAAUACAGAAUUACAAAACACCCCACCAAUUGAAAAAGAUAGAAACUUUUCAUAAUUGUUACGAAACGAAGAAAAAACCAAAAAAAUAAUGUUGACAAAAUGUUACGCAAAUGCAUUUUCUCCAUUUUAAGUCAUUUGUCGUCCUUUGCAUGUAGUUGCAUUUUUCCAUUUUUAAAUGUCCUUUGUCGCACGAGGUGUUUUUGAAAAGUACAGUUAAAUAUACAAAUAUAUAAAUAUAAUAUAUAUUAAUAUUAAUAAUACAUGUACAAUUUAUUUUUAGUGAGAAAUUAUAUUGAUAACAAAAAAACACGCUAAAUAUUGCUAUCGAGCAACAGCUUCCACACGGCUAAAGUACACAAAUUACCUGCAACAUAAAAAAUAGUCAAGAAUCGUAGAGCAAUAAAUACAACUCAGAGAGCAUUAACUUAAUAUACUUGAUUGCUUGAGCAUAAUACCAAUUUAAAUGUUAAAAUGUUAAACGAGAUAAACAAACGUUUCUUUGUUCAUUUGAUCACGAGAUAAUGUAACAAAUAUCAAAUGUAGAAAUCCAAUAUGCAGAAUUGUUCAUAAUUUUUUGUUCUUAUUUUUGUGAUUGUAAUUAAGUAUGAGAUAUGCAUCUUAUAAAUUCAAGAGGUUGUACCUUUACUGUAUUCAGCUAUAGAUUCUUUUGCUAAGUAAAAAAAAUGUACAAUGAAUUUGUAACGAUUCAAAAUGUCUACUGUUUGUUCGGCUAUGGCCUUUUUUCUCUCAGACAUUCGCAAAAAACAUUCCAAUAUUCUUUUUGUUAUUUAUAUAACAAGUUUGAUGAUAUAUAUGUAUAUUUGGAUAUAGCCUUUAGUACUUCCAGACUUCAGUCUGCCAAUUAAUAUUCAUAUAUUUAUACUCAGCUGUUGUAUGAUAAAUUAUUUAUCAGAUAUCAACAUAUUACUAAAUAUCGUGGGCUAAGAAGCACUCACAGAGUUCUGAAUUUAUAACUUGUUUAUUUAUAUAUAAUCAAAAACAUAUUGUUUAAUCACCUAAAAAAUACUCGCAAACAAAGCGUAAGCAACCUAAUGGAUCCAUAUUGGCAUCCAAUGUGGCUUUCUUUAUAUAAAUGCAUACUCUCUGAUUACUUGUUACAAAUCACUUUCUCGCAAGCAGCCUGAACAGAGUCCUAGCUUAAUAUACCUUAUAUAUAGUUAAAAUUAGUUAAUUAAUUAAUUAUGCAUAACGAACGCAACACUAAAAAUCAUUCAAGUAAAAUAUUCUGUUUAAAACUAAAUUUAUAUAACAUAUGUACAUUAUGCCAAAGAAUUGUACAUGCCAAACUGCCCCAGAACAGUCCAGUUAAUGCCAAUUUGCAGCCUGCAGCAAGUCAACUACAUAAACUUCAACAACAACAGCAAGAAAGCCUCCGCCGCCGAAAUGCGCGCCGCGGCACAGCAAACAUCAUACGGUGGCAAUGCGGCGCCAACAACCAACGAUCGGGCGGGCAUUGUGAAUAAUGCGCAGCCCUUCUCCUUCACCGGUGCCGUGGGCACGGACAGCAAUGUGUGAUGAAAUCGGUAAUGGAACAUAUGGAUCGUGGCUGGGGUGUGCGGUGAGAAAA